UGGGGAAUAUUGCACAAUGGGCGCAAGCCUGAUGCAGCAACGCCGCGUGAGGGACGACGGCCUUCGGGUUGUAAACCUCUUUUAGUAGGGAAGAAGCGAAAGUGACGGUACCUGCAGAAAAACGCACCGGCUAACUACGUGCCAGCAGCCGCGGUAAUACGUAGGGUGCGAGCGUUGUCCGGAAUUAUUGGGCGUAAAGAGCUCGUAGGCGGUCUGUCGCGUCUGCUGUGAAAACCCGAGGCUCAACCUCGGGCCUGCAGUGGGUACGGGCAGACUAGAGUGCGGUAGGGGAGAAUGGAAUUCCUGGUGUAGCGGUGGAAUGCGCAGAUAUCAGGAGGAACACCGAUGGCGAAGGCAGUUCUCUGGGCCGUAACUGACGCUGAGGAGCGAAAGCGUGGGGAGCGAACAGGAUUAGAUACCCUGGUAGUCCACGCCGUAAACGUUGGGCGCUAGAUGUGGGGACCAUUCCACGGUUUCCGUGUCGCAGCUAACGCAUUAAGCGCCCCGCCUGGGGAGUACGGCCGCAAGGCUAAAACU
rnacentral:rRNA from 1 species